GACAGACUUCGAACCGUGCUUCAAGAUGGCUGGUGACAUGCACGUUGCUAUGUUUUCGAUUGCGGUUUAACAGAGGAAAUCGCCAGACUUCCGUCCUCCACUGGGGGGCGGGGCACGUCAGAUUCGAACUGACUAAAACCUCCAGUCGCUCAACAAUCAACGUCCAAACCUCGCAUGAGACAGAACUCAUGAAAAGGCAAAGGGGGGAAAGUGAAGCGCUUAGUGCGGAGCACAUCUCUUCCAUCACCCUCCCCCUCGGGACGCCGGACCGGCGGUCGUCGGCGCCACGACCACCAGCCCUCUCGGUCGGCAGGCUAUCCGAAGCCAGCCUAGAUGGCGCCGGUUAGAGUGAGCUAUCCUACGGAAUACCCCGCUGUCUCAACCCUUAUUAUAAUAAAAACUAGUUUUUA